UAGCCUAGUGUUUAAGGCUUUGGAUCGCCAAUCCGGAGACGGCGGGUUCGAUUCCCGU
rfam:Aedes albopictus isolate Foshan contig73847, whole genome shotgun sequence.